rnacentral:rRNA from 1 species
GGCGCACGGGUGCGUAACACGUGGGCAACUGCCCUUGGAUGGGGAAUAACUCCGCGAAAGCGGAGCUAAUACCGCAUAACACUCCGGGAACCGUGGUUACCGGAAUCAAAGCCGUAAGGCGUCCGAGGAGGGGCCCGCGCCCGAUUAGGUAGUUGGUGAGGUAACGGCUCACCAAGCCAAUGAUCGGUAGCCGGUCUGAGAGGAUGGCCGGCCACACUGGAACUGAGACACGGUCCAGACUCCUACGGGAGGCAGCAGUGGGGAAUCUUGCGCAAUGGGCGAAAGCCUGACGCAGCGACGCCGCGUGGGGGAUGAAGCUUUUCGGAGUGUAAACCCCUUUCGACCGGGACGAAACGCCCGCAAGGGAAUUGACGGUACCGGUAGAAGAAGCCCCGGCUAACUACGUGCCAGCCGCCGCGG